rnacentral:rRNA from 1 species
CCUACGGGGUGCAGCAGUGAGGAAUAUUGGUCAAUGGACGAGAGUCUGAACCAGCCAAGUAGCGUGAAGGAUGACUGCCCUAUGGGUUGUAAACUUCUUUUAUAUGGGAAUAAAAUGUUCCACGUGUGGGAUUUUGUAUGUACCAUAUGAAUAAGGAUCGGCUAACUCCGUGCCAGCAGCCGCGGUAAUACGGAGGAUCCGAGCGUUAUCCGGAUUUAUUGGGUUUAAAGGGAGCGUAGGUGGAUUGUUAAGUCAGUUGUGAAAGUUUGCGGCUAAACCGUAAAAGUGCAGUUGAAACUGGCAGUCUUGAGUACAGUAGAGGUGGGCGGAAUUCGUGGUGUAGCGGUGAAAUGCUUAGAUAUCACGAAGAACUCCGAUUGCGAAGGCAGUUCACUGGACUGCAACUGACACUGAGGCUCGAAAGUGUGGGUAUCAAACAGGAUUAGAUACCCGGGUAGUC